UCUGAGACCAGAUUCAGAAUCAGCAACAAACAGUGACGCCUAACUAAUCUUUUGUGUGUGGCAAUAAACAUAAAUUUAUACCCACCUAGCUCUUUAUGAUGUUAAACCUAAGUCAUGCAAGGAAGUUAUAGGCAAAACUAUAAAUAUUUACAGUACGCCACGGCGUUAUGUUAGGUUAAAUUUCAUUAUUUUAAAUUUGUAUGCAUGAUAUUAUUUUCUAUCAGAAUUAAUGCUCCAAUCGAAAAAUUACAACAAACGGUCAAUUUUGUUCCUUUUAACAUAUAGCCAUAAAUAUAUUGCUCCA